UUCAUCAUGGACAUGCAGCAGCUCGCCUCCUCCCCUCUGCGCCUGCUGGCCUCCUGACAGCAGUGCCUCUGAGUGCAGGACGAGGUCUGCUCUGCUCCCUGUUACCGCCGCUCACACUGCACCAGACAGAGCUAUUCCCCCUUCGUCUCACUGUGGCAUUCGUGUAAAACUGCUUUCCCCAGACAGUUCAUCCGUAGAGGCACGCAAAAGCGCUCUUACCGGCUGCCACUCCUCCUCUCUCCACCGGUACCGGGAGGGACAGUCGGCGGCCCGGCAGCUCUGGCUGGACGCCGGUCGGGACGGCUGCGGGCAGUCGGUCUCCUGCGGGCUCCGGCGGGCUCCGACCUGGCAGAAGACUUCCCGUCGCUGUACUCCGUCGCCGCACGAUGCCGAACACUGAAAAGAAGUCAGUUCUGUCCACAGCCAUUAAGCAAGAGGAUGGAAAUCACAGGAUGUCAAAGGAGAAUGAAGCGAUAAACAUAUCCAGAUGAUCAAGCCAAGUUGCCAGUCUUCCACUUGGGACAUCGGCUACCUCGGCAGCGCCUCUGCUUGCUGGGCUUGGACGACAGGUGCUGGCAGUUCUCCUCUGGGAUCGGACGGCCUGACCGGGUCACGCAGCUCACCUUGCGGUACUUGAACCCUCGGCCACAGGAGGCUGAGCACUGCAAAUCGCAAAAUGUAAGACGGGGGUUACAUAAAGAAGAUUUCAAGAACAGAGUAAUUCAGCAACAUCAAAUCAUUGUGAAUCAAUGUUAUCAACCACGGGUAAGAGAUUAAAACAUGAAUAACUACAAAAACAUAUAUUGUAUUAAAAAGUAAAGCAUUUAAAGCCAGAGAAAUUCAGGCGGUGCUUGUGGAUUUGUUAUUUGGUGGGCAUUUUCCAUAGUAAGUGAGUGAGGUUCACAAAGAACAUAGCAAUGAUAUGUGUCAGGUUUUAAGUUUGAACUGAAAAAAAAACAAACAAAACUUUAAACCAUAAAACAAAAUUACAUCAUUAAAAGCCGAAAACACAACAAUGGUAUCGAAUAAAACA